UCAUGGGAAACGAUGUCGAGUGGCCCACCAUCUCUGUAUCGGCGUGAUUUUUUGGGAAUCUUUGUAUACAGAACGACGUCGUUUUUGUAGCUUAUUCAACUUGAGCCAUUCGAUUGCUUUUGGUGCUUUUGAUCUGACCGUAAAAACAGAUGCAUGCACUUCUUCUGUUGAAUCUGCUUCUGCAAAAGUCUCCUACUCUGUCCUGUGCCUCAUCUUCCUUUCUCCCCUGCUUUCUCUGUCCCCGAAUCUCUCUCGGGCCAUUGGGUUUUCCCUCUCUACUUCACACAGCGUGAGCUUCGUUUUGUUACGGUUGACGUCGGGAGCUUCGAUUUACUACGGGCUGAGUGUUCCUUUUGCUACAAAAUGGAGGGUUGGAUUUGCUUUGGGUGUUUGGCGUGGUUCAUAGCUUUGGUACUAUCAGCAGUGGCGGAGAUAGGCGGGAGGAGUGGGGUCAAGUGACCCCACUCAAUUUUUUUUUUAAAAAAUUAAUAUAUGUCAUUUUGAUAUAUAAUUGUUUAUCAUUAUAGAAAGUGCGACCCCCCAGUGACAAUCCAUCCCAACUCCGCCACUGACUAUCAGGCAGCUGAGCAGUCUUCGUUCUGUUUCUUUCUUCGGUUGUUCUCCAGUUCUUUCUUCGGCUUGCCAUAGGUGGUUGGGGUGUUUAUCGGUAAGUUGGUGGGUUUAGGAGCUUUGGUGAUGUCUUUGCUUCGAUUUUCUUGCAUGUAGGUCUUGCUUUUUUGUAGGUUCAUCUAUUUGCAGACGAUCUUGAGUGAAGAAAGCGAGAAUGGAACAACAGAUGUACUUGGGCGUCGAAUCAGAGCAGAUUUCUCUGAUCAACUCAUCUCUUCCCAUGCCAUCUCUGAUUCCGCCCUCCCCUUCUCCUCCACCGCCGUCGUUCACGUUUACAAAUACAGCAAGACGGGUAAAACAUUGAUCAAUACUACUGUUGUUCAGGGGAUUCCCUGUUUGGGUAAAAUAUGUUCCCGGCAUUGCCUUCAGAACUGACAAUAGGCCCUUCAAUGUUGGUACUUGGUAGUAAAGGUCAAUGUUAUUAACGGAAUGCACCACAUAUACCAUAAACUUCUUACAUGCAAGUUAGAAGUUCUUGGUGAGAGUCUCUACCAAUAUUAGCUCCAGAUGGUGAGGAAGGGAAGAUGGUCAAACAAAAUUUCAGAAAAAAGUUCUGUGGUGGGGGGUCAUUGGGGGAGGAGCUGGAGAGAACUGCGAAGGGCGGUGAUGUAAUUGUUGACUUAAAUUCGACAUUUGAAGAUUUAUACAUGGAAGGCACUUCUGCGUUGCAUCUAUCUCAACUGUUCCCCUCACAUUGAAGCUUCUGACAAGGCACAUGGAACUAUGCGUGCUGUGAUCGCCUUCUUUACACUUUAUUCAACCUGCUAUUUUUGCAAGCCGAAAAAUGUGGGGAAUUUUCUGCAAUUCCCUCUUCGUCCUUCAUGUCUGUGGAAUUCCGUGGUUCGAUAAUUUUCAUUCCCUGGCCUGUGAAGAAGUAAUACUUUUACUGACCGUCUUCUGGCACAUUUGACAACGGAGAAUAAGAUGCAUGGGAAAACAAAGGAAGCAGAUUUACUAAAGGUAAAGCUUGAGGAGUUUAUGGUACUAGAGGUGAACCGAUGUUAGAUGCUAAGAUGAAUAGAGAAAACAGUCCCUAUAUGAAACAUCAAAUGACGCAUGAGAUUCAGAUUGUGCCAGACGACUCAGGUGAGCUUUGCUUUAAUUUAUCUAUUUAAAAUGUCAAUUAUAAAUCUUAUUGUACAAUUAUAUAUUGUUCACACAUCGUUAUGAAACUAUAUUUGGUGCUUUUGGUUUUGACCUUUUAACAAUGUUCUGACAUUGUUUGGUUUCAAUUCUCAUCGAUCAAGAUUAAUGCUUUAAUUUUCAUAUAAGAAUAUUAAUAUCUGACUUGGUGGUUGUCAUAGUUUCUGCAGCCAAUGGUGAGAUUAUUUUACCAUGUUUGAAUAUAUUGUGGUUUUUCCCCCUUAAUUCUUUUCAGAAUCUUACUCUUUCUAGGGGAUUCAACUUUUUGUUCUAUUCAUGUUCGAAUUUCCCUUCUUUUCUUUCUUAAUCAAUAAUCCUGCAGGGGAAUUUCAUUAAUUCCUACAACAGGUAUCCUUUAUUCAUCAAGCACUGAUUCCACGUUCAUGCUUCUGGUAUCAUUAGUGCCAUUGCUUGGGGGUGUACUCAUGUGGUGAUAACUUCUAUGUAGCGUUGCAAUAUCACAAGGAAUGUUAUUAAUCAGUCCUUCACAUGUAUUUCAUUUUGCACAUGUUGGUCUGCUGUAACAAUUCCAUCCUCUAUACUUUUUGUUACACAUACUGUGUAAUUUCUCACAACAUUCUUUCGUCGCCUUUUGGAAGAGCUUCAUUUUUCAGUGAUUUGGGAUUGGAAUGGGAAAAGAUGGGAAGUUUGGCAUAUUCA